rnacentral:lncRNA from 1 species
UGAGAGACACACAGAGAGGGAGAGGCAGAGACACAGGUAAAGGGAGAAGCAGGCUCCCCUGACUUGGGACUCGAUCCCAGGUCUCCAGGAUCACACCCUGGGCUGAAGGCAGUGCUAAACCGCUGAGCCACCUGGGCUGCCCUUAAUUUUUAAAUUUAAAUUUAAUUUAUUUUUAAAAAUUAUUUGAGAAAGAGAGAGCAAGAGGGGAGGGACAGAGAGAGAAAGAGAGAGAGAGAGAAUCUUAAGCAGGCUCUGCUGGUGCAAUGUGGGGUUUGAUCUCAUGACUCUAAGAUCAUGACCCGAGCUGAAAUCAAGAGUUGAAUGCUUAACUGACUGAGCCACCCAGGCACCCCUAUUUUAUUUAUUAUUUUUAAAGAUUAAAAAAAACUAAUCUCUACACUUAACGUGGGGCUCAAACUCACAAUCCUAAGAUCAAGAGUCACAUGCUGUACCAAUUGAGUCUGCCAGGUGCCACUGUUUAAAUAUAUUUUAAAAUAUGACAUUUUAGCUUAAAAUGACCUUUAGCAUUUAAAAAUAAUUAAAAGUACAUUUUAAAUUUUUAUAAAAAGCAGAAGUUCAGUUAGCUGAGAGUAGGGAAGAUGCCUCCUGGAAUAACAGGUAGAAUGUAAAGUACAAAUGAAAGUGUUAGUGUGGGAUAAGACAGAUUUAUAGUAAAACAGGCUUCAGGGCGUUCAGGAAGUAUGGAAAAUUUCAGGUUUCCUCCUACAAUCCUCCAAAUGGCUGAGUUAGCUUGUGCUAUUCUCCUCAAAUUUGCAAUAUAACCAAACGGUGGAGAUAGUAAAUAGUCACUGAGCAAAAUACUUGUAUUUUUUUAAAUUAUGCUCUGAGUUAUAGAUCAUCCUUCCAAAGACAAACCAUGUGAAUAUUAGUAAUAUUCCUAUUAGCUAAUAGACUAUUUUAAUAAAACUUUCUGGGUUUUUAAAAGAUUAUUUAUUUAUUUAUUUAUUUAUUUAUUUAUUUAUUUGAGGGAGAGAGAGAGAGCGAGCUUGCAUGAGCUGGGGAAAGGGCAGAGGGAGAAGCAGACUCCCUGCUGAAGCAGAGUGCCUGACCUGGAGCUUGAUCCCAGGACCCCGGGAUCAUGACCUGAGCCAAAGGCAGAUGCUUAACCAACUAAGCCACCUAGGUGCCCCCAAACCUUCUGUUUUAAUAGAAAUAACACUUGGGUGGAAAAAGCACCUUAACUUUUGCUCAUUUUUUGUGUAUGCUUCUUAUUCAGAAAGUCUGGCCAUUGGGACCAUGUCUCUAGCUUAAAUGCCAUUAUUAACCUGCUAGAAGUUACUCACAUUUCAGGUAGGAAACCCAGAAAGUAAACUGUGUAUAAACUCUGUUAAACCCAGCCUAUGGUGUGGCCAGUAUUAGUCACUUAAUGUUAAUGUCUAAGACUUUAUUGAGGAUUAUUUCAUCAGAUCAAGUGUGCUGCGAGAUAUCCAGGCAACCUGGAAGCAGUUGGCACAUGUGGGGUAGGAAGAAGAGACGCUGAAAAUAAGCAAAUCCUUUGUAAUUUUGCUCAGUGCAGGCCUUCUCCCAAUAUCCAAAGGAAUUGUAAUUUGUAACUCUCAUGGCACCAAAGAACAAGCCAUGUAUCUUCUUCUUUAUGAGGGGGUUGCCAUGAACAGCAGGUCAAGAAGUACAGGUGACCCUGACUUGUCAUUCUGCCUCUACUCUUCAGCUGAAGAAUGAAGUAUGUUGGGGAAGAGCAUGCAGAGGAAAAGAUCAAGUGUUCUCAUUUUUAUUUUCAAGUUUAAGCUGUUUUAGGGUCAUCAUCUAACCUUUAUGGAACCUUCCCAUAAAGUAGAGAGGGCCUAAAUUAGAUGAGCAGCUGCAGGUUCUAGACAGAGGAGAGGUCAUUACUUGGGAACUGGGCCCAUUUCCUAGUCUGCCACAUGACCUCAUGGCCCAGGAGUCCCCUGAGUCAUCUCUUUACCACUCAGUUGGCAAAUGCCUAUUGUCUGCUCUGUGUGUUUGGCAAUGUGCCAUAAUCUUGUGAAAACAGUUUGGGGAUUUUUGCACUCUUUCUGUAUCAGUCUGCUCUAGCUGCCAUAAUAAAAUACUACAAACUAGGCUUAAAUGACAGAAAUUUGUUUUCUCGAAGUUCCGGAAGCUGAAUCUAAGAUAAGGUGCCAUUAGGGUUGGUUUCUGUUGAGACCUUUCCCUCCUGGCUUGUAGACAGUCACUAUCCUGCUGUGUCCCCACAUGGCCUCUCUCCUGUGCACAUGUGGAAAGAGAGAUCUACCGUGUCUCUUCCUCUUCUUAUAAAAACACUAGUUCUAUCAGAUUAGGGUCCUACCCUUACAACCUCAUUUAACUUUAAUUGCCUUUCCAAAGGCCUAAUCUCCAAAUAGUCAUAUUGGGGGUUAGAGCUUCAACAAAUGAAUUCUGGGGGACACAAUCUGAUCUGUAACAGUUCACUUCUGGAAUUUUAAGAUUUUUAUUAGAAGUUUGAAUCACAAACAUAUUUGGUCUAAGUGAGAUUUUAUCUAUUGGAUUACACAUCUACCCUCACCUAAAGUAUUUGAGAUGACUGGGCAGACUAGAUUUAAGGACUCUUAUCCUUCCAAAUAAUUGGGUGUAAGCAAUGAGAUGGAUCCACACAGUUAUCACACCUAUAGGGCCAGACAUAACUUAUAGGGUAGAGAGUCAUUUCCACAGUCCUGCCAGAGAUUGUGUAUGCUCCCAGCAUGGCACCCUGCACACAGUAGGCACUCCAUUCAAAUGGGCUGAGUGAAUAAAUGAACAAAUAAGUGAACAAUGAUGAUUUCCACUGAAUAUGGGAAACGUCAGAGAUAGAGGGUUUUAGUAAAAGGAGGCUGCCUAUCUCCCUUCUGUCUGUCAUUCACACAAUUCUGAGUUUGAGUCUUGAGCAUCUUACCUUUAGCUCUGGGUUUAUUUUACUUCAUGUGCUUCAGGAAGGGCAGGGCUCCCUCCAAGUCUUUGUGAAGUGAGCCUUAGAUAAACUGCAGAGGUGUGAAAAGCACCUGUCUAAGAAGAUCUAUAUGAUGUCUCCUGUAGGUCUUUAAUCUGGUUCCUCCAGGGUGCGUGGCAUUGGCGGUUCAUGGAGGUUCAAUCAAAUGCAGACAGGUGGGAAUGGAUUUCUUCUUUACGCAGCUGGCUAGAUGGUGAAUCUCUUUCUUUUUUUUCUUUUGCUUCGCAAUGCUCACAAACUUAUCUUGAGCUCUAAGAUGGCUGGGACUCCAAAGGAUCUGAACUACUGCCGUCUGAUAACCAAGGAGAAUGUUAUUGUAAAAAAAAAAAAAAAAAA